rnacentral:rRNA from 1 species
UACGGGGGGGGCAAGCGUUGUUCGGAAUUACUGGGCGUAAAGGGCUCGUAGGCGGCCAACUAAGUCAGACGUGAAAUCCCCAGGCUUAACCUGGGAACUGCGUCUGAUACUGGAUGGCUUGAGAUUGGGAGAGGGAUGCGGAAUUCCAGGUGUAGCGGUGAAAUGCGUAGAUAUCUGGAGGAACACCGGUGGCGAAGGCGACAUCCUGGACCGGUAUUGACGCUGAGGCGCGAAAGCCAGGGGAGCAAACGGG